rnacentral:rRNA from 1 species
AGAGCGAACGCUGGCGGCAGGCCUAACACAUGCAAGUCGAGCGCCCGUAGCAAUACGGGAGCGGCAGACGGGAUAGUAACACGUGGGAACGCGCCCUUCGGUUCGGAAUAACUCAGGGAAACUUGAGCUAAUACCGGAUACGCCCUUACGGGGAAAGAUUUAUUGCCGAAGGAACGGCCCGCGUCCGAUUAGCUAGUUGGUGAGGUAAUGGCUCACCAAGGCUCCGAUCGGUAGCUGGUCUGAGAGGAUGACCAGCAUCACUGGGACUGAGACACAGCCCAGACUCCUACGGGAGGCAGCAGUGGGGAAUAUUGGACAAUGGGCGCAAGCCUGAUCCAGCCAUGCCGCGUGGAUGAUGAAGGCCUUAGGGUUGUAAGUUCCUUUUAACGGGGAAGAUAAUGACGGUACCGUAGAUAAGCCCGGCUAACUUCGCGCCAGCAGCCGC